rnacentral:rRNA from 1 species
UACGGAGGGUGCAAGCGUUAAUCGGAAUUACUGGGCGUAAAGCGUGCGCAGGCGGUUUGUUAAGUCCGCUGUGAAAUCCCCGAGCUCAACUUGGGAAUUGCAGUGGAUACUGGCAAGCUGGAGUAUGGUAGAGGAAGGUGGAAUUCCAGGUGUAGCGGUGAAAUGCGUAGAUAUCUGGAGGAACACCGGUGGCGAAGGCGGCGUCCUGGACCAACACUGACACUGAUGAGCGAAAGCCAGGGAGCAAACGGG